UAGUACAGUCUCGUAGGUGACCUGCGGAGGGAUCAUUACACAAAUAUGAAGGCGGGCUGGAACCUCUCGGGGUUACAGCCUUGCUGAAUUAUUCACCCUUGUCUUUUGCGUACUUCUUGUUUCCUUGGUGGGUUCGCCCACCACUAGGACAAACAUAAACCUUUUGUAAUUGCAAUCAGCGUCAGUAACAAAUUAAUAAUUACAACUUUCAACAACGGAUCUCUUGGUUCUGGCAUCGAUGAAGAACGCAGCGAAAUGCGAUAAGUAGUGUGAAUUGCAGAAUUCAGUGAAUCAUCGAAUCUUUGAACGCACAUUGCGCCCUUUGGUAUUCCAAAGGGCAUGCCUGUUCGAGCGUCAUUUGUACCCUCAAGCUUUGCUUGGUGUUGGGCGUCUUGUCUCUAGCUUUGCUGGAGACUCGCCUUAAAGUAAUUGGCAGCCGGCCUACUGGUUUCGGAGCGCAGCACAAGUCGCACUCUCUAUCAGCAAAGGUCUAGCAUCCAUUAAGCCUUUUUUUCAACUUUUGACCUCGGAUCAGGUAGGGAUACCCGCUGAACUUAAGCAUAUCAAUAAGCGGAGGAA
rnacentral:rRNA from 1 species